UACGUAGGGGGCAAGCGUUGUCCGGAUUUACUGGGUGUAAAGGGCGCGCAGGCGGAAUGGAAAGUCAGUGGUGAAAUCCUACAGCUUAACUGUAGAACUGCCUUUGAUACUUUCAUUCUUGAGUUCGGGAGAGAGAGACGGAAUUCCAGGUGUAGUGGUGAAAUACGUAGAUAUCUGGAAGAACACCAGUUGCGAAGGCGGUCUCUUGGUCCGAUACUGACGCUGA
rnacentral:rRNA from 1 species